CUAAUAAUCGAAACACCGCAUAGGCUCCUCCGUUUAUCAGUAUUAAUGGUGUAACUUUGUUGGCAAUAUUUGCCGCGUAGAAUUUUUUUUUUUAGAUAUCCAUUGUAAAUUUGAAACUAAGUCUGAUCUGUGUAAAGACAAAUUUCCAUAUGUAAAAAUGACAAUUUGAGGAUGUUUUUGCCUUUUGUGUAUUUUUUCCUAAAAAAGAACAAAAUAAAAAUGUAUAACAUUUGU
rnacentral:lncRNA from 1 species